CUGUCUCUCACUGCCCUGCAACACCACCAGCUGCCGUAGAACUGUCUCUCACUGCCCUGCAACACCACCAGCUGCCGUAGAACUGUCUCUCACUGCCCUGCAACACCACCAGCACUUUUGGAGAUUCGGCAUCGGCUCCUCUAUCUAGUCGGCACCUCCCGCUCCCUCCAGAUUCUUCAAGUACUCAACACACUGCCCUAUUAGUGCAGCGGAGGAACACCACCAGCUGCCGUAGAACUGUCUGCCUCACUGCCCUGCAACACCACCAGCUGCCGUAGAACUGUCUGCCUCACUGCCCUGCAACACCACCAGCUGCCGUAGAACUGCCUGCCUCACUGCCCUGCAACACCACCAGCUGCCGUAGAACUGUCUGCCUCACUGCCCUGCAACACCACCAGCUGCUGUAGAACUGUCUCUCACUGCCCUGCAACACCACCAGCUGCCGUAGAACUGUCUCUCACUGCCCUGCAACACCACCAGCUGCCGUAGAACUGCCUGCCUCACUGCCCUGCAACACCACCAGAGCUUUUGGAAAUUCGGCUCCUCUAUCUAGUCGGCACCUCCCGCUCCCUCCAGAUUCUUCAAGUAGUAAGUCAGGGAGAGGGUCACACAGUCAGUGGCUCCUCACCCCCCGGUUUUACUCCUUACCUGCUCCUGCUUUAUUAUCCAUGAAUUGUAAAAAUACACCAACUGAUUACUGUGCAAUCAUGAGCCACAGUUGAGUAGAAAGUCAGUAAUUGGUCUGUUUGUUUUUAUAAUUGAUUGUUAUGAUGUUGUAAUUGCCUGGGAAUCAUGAUUUCUGGUCUUGUACUUCCCUCCCACCUGUUUUAUUGUGCUGCAAAUUAGUUUUUAUUUUAUUAAAUUGUGUGCCUUGUUUUA